rnacentral:rRNA from 1 species
GAUGAACGCUGGCGGCGUGCUUAACACAUGCAAGUCGAACGGUGAAGGCGGGCUUUGGUCUGCUGCUUCAGUGGCGAACGGGUGAGUAACACGUGAGUAACCUGCCCUUGACUCUGGGAUAAGUUCAGGAAACUGCGUCUAAUACUGGAUACGAGCUGCGACGGCAUGUUCAGCAGUUGGAAAGUACGUCGGUCAGGGAUGAGCUCGCGGCCUAUCAGCUUGUUGGUGAGGUAACGGCUUACCAAGGCGUCGACGGGUAGCCGGCCUGAGAGGGUGACCGGCCACACUGGGACUGAGACACGGCCCAGACUCCUACGGGAGGCAGCAGUGGGGAAUAUUGCACAAUGGGCGAAAGCCUGAUGCAGCAACGCCGCGUGAGGGACGACGGCCUUCGGGUUGUAAACCUCUUUUAGCAGGGAAGAAGCGAAAGUGACGGUACCUGCAGAAAAAGCGCCGGCUAACUACGUG